CUGGGCAAUUCAACAUUUCUUCUGUAGGUUUCCGGGAACAAAAUUCUACUGCUCUUGUCCUUGUUUUGGUUUGCCUUCCGCUAUCGAACCUACAGACUUGGCUUUGAAUCGUGGAACGAAAAGCUAGUUACCUCUUCCACUACACCUAACGGUCCUAGUCUGAGAAAUACGACUCCUCUGCCUCGUUAGUUAGUAACUAGUACAGCCAAUCCGAAUACCAUUUUCUCAAUUCUAUUUUUGUUUUAGGAUGUCCAGUGAAUUAAAAUUUUUAUAUUGAUUUCUUAAUCCCCAUGGUAAAAUAUUUAAUAU
rnacentral:lncRNA from 1 species